CACCGCGCUCGUCCGCCCACCUUCCCCGCCACCCACGGCCGGCGCGUCCGCGCAGGGUUAACCUGCACAGCCCAAACUGGAAAUAUCAGAUGUCGUUCAGCUGGCAAAUGGUUAAACAAACUACGUCCCAUCACAACCAUGGAAUAGGACUCAGCAACAACAAGGAAUGAACUACUGAUACAUACAACCAUUUGCAUGAAUAUCCAGGGAAUUAGGCUGAAUGAAAAGCCAAUCCCCAAAAGGCUUCUGCAGCUGGUCUGGGAGCAGGAGGCUGGAGUUGAACUUGAUCGACAGAAAGCCGGAAAACCAUGGAGCCAUUACCAGUGUGACUUGCUGGUUGGUGAGAAAUGCUAAAUUAUUAAGGCGUCCUCUGUGCGGAAGAGGAGGUAGGACGGGCGUCCACCAGCGCCAGGAAAGGAGCGGUCUGUUCUGCUACUCGCUCUGCUCUCGGACCAGCUUUGACCCCUCCUCUGCGCGGACCACUUCCAAGCCUCAGUCCCAAG